GACAGAGGUCCCGAGCGUUAGGCGGAAUCACUGGGCUUAAAGCGUGUGUAGGCGGAUUUGUAAGUACCUUGUGAAAUCCCACGGCUCAACUGUGGAACUGCUUGGUAUACUGCUUAUCUUGGGCCACUUAGGGGUUACCGGAACAAACGGUGGAGCGGUGAAAUGCGUAGAUAUCGUUUGGAACGCCAAUGGUGAAAACAGGUAACUGGGAGUGUGCCGACGCUGAGACACGAAAGCCAGGGGAGCGAACGGG
rnacentral:rRNA from 1 species